AAGAGACGCGCACCAGUCAGACACGGCAAUCAUCGUGCGUACAAAACAGAUAAACUGGCAAGGAUUUCAGUUCAAUUUUGUGGCAAGUAUAACACACGUUAUAUCUAAUAUAUCUAGAGUACACCUACUACUAAUUCCAAACUUUGACUUUCAAACAUGCAACUACGACGUGUAGAAGAAUAAGGAUUGGGAAACAUUUCUGUGUCAUGUAUAUUUGUAGACAUUGACAAAUUCCAGACGUGACAUAUCAAUCAAAUCUGUUAUUUCUGUAGGUUUCAGACAUCUUUCUCACGUUUAAAAUCUGAAAUAUUUAAUAAAGAUGUUUUAGUGAAUUUUUUGCGGGAAAACUCUGUUCCAGGAUAAAUGGAAAAUAUUUUCAAAUUUUAUAUUACCCAAAUAUAUAUAUAUAUAUAUAUAUAUAUAUAUAUAUAUAUAUAUAUGUUUUAACAGGUAUAUUUAUGUAGUUUCAAAGAUUUAAUCGCUAUUUAAUUUUCUAUAACGUCAUCUAAUUAUACGUAUGAGUACAUGCACAGUUUCAAUUUUCAAAUCAACACGAUCACGCAUGUAAACAAAAUUGAUAAAAUUUGAUCAAUUUAGGAUCCCAUCCAUUAUGUCGGAAAUCAUUCUGUAAGAAAGAAAUGAACAUUGUUGUAUGCAACGUCGACUAAAGCUUAUAUCAAUCUACAGAAGCGACUAUAUAUAUAUAUUUCGAUGAAACUCGUGGCAGCUUGGAAAGAAAUACGUGUCUUGUUAGUUUAGUCAUGUGAAAAUAAUAAAGUAUAAGAAGCAUCGGACAAAGUACCAUUCUCGAAAUCCUCGAAUAUAUGUGAACCAGUGUCUCAUAUUUCAUUUCGAUCAGAUAAUCCGCACCGUGAUACAACAGCGAAGCGGUAAGCAAGUGCAUUUUGAACAAUAGUGUAAAUAAAUAGGCAACUAGUGCGCGAAUUGCGGACCGAGUACCUACCGUGAAUUCGCCAGUGACAGCGUCGAAUCCGACGUGCACGCGUUUUCUUCUUGCGCUCGUCGGAAUCCGGCUCCUUAGGUAAUGGACGCAUAUCCACUGGUAGAUUAGGCGCUGAUUCCCCCCUAGAAGACG